GGUCGCAAAGUUCAAGGGGGCCGAAUACUUUCGCAAGGCACUGUACCUACUCAAUUUUCUUUAUUUUUACAAUUUUCUACAUUGUAAAAUAAAAGUGAAGAGAGAGAAACUAUGAAAUAACACACAUGGAAUUAUGUCGUAACCAAAAAAAGUGUUAAACAAAUCCAAAUAUAUUUUAGAUUCUUCAAAGUAGCCACCCUUUGCCUUAUGACAGCUUUGCACACGCUCAACCAGCUUCACCUGGAAUGCUUUUCCAACAGUCUUGAAGGAGUUCCAACAAAUGCUGAGCACUUGUUGGCUGCUUUACCUUCACUCUGCAGUCCAACUAAUCCCAACGCAUCUCAAUUGGGUUGAGGUCGGGUGAUUGUGGAGGCCAGGUCAUCUGAUUUAGCACUCCAUCACUGUCCUUGGUCAAGUAGCCAUUACAGAGCCUGGAGGUGUGUUGGGUCAUUGUCCUGUUGAAAAACAAAUGAUAGUCCCACUAAGCGCAAAACAGGUGGGAUGGCCAUAUCAUUGCAGAAUGCUGUGGUAGCCAUGCUGGUUAAGUGUGCAUUGAAUUCUAAAUAAAUCACUUAGUGUCACCAGGAUAGCACCACCACACCUUCUCCAUGCUUCACGGUGGGAACCACACAUGCAGAGAUCAUCCGUUCACCUACUCUGCGUCUCACAAAGACAUGACAGUUGGAACCAAAAAUCUCAGAUUUGGACUCAUCAGACCAAAGGUCAGAGUUCCACCGGUCUAAUGUCCAUUGCUCAUGUUUCUUGGCCCAAGCAAGUCUUGUCUUCUUAUUGGUGUCCUUUAGUAGUGGUUUCUUUGCAGCAAUUUGACCACGAAGGCCUGAUUCAUGCCGUCUCCUCUAAACAGCUGAUGUUGAGAUGUGUCUGUCACUUGAACUCCGUGAAGCAUUUAUUUGGGCUACAUUUUCUGAGGCUGGUAACUCUAAUGAACAUAUCCUCUGCAGCAGAGGUAACUCUGGGUCUUCCAUUCCUGUGGCAGUCCUCAUGAGAGCCAGUUUCAUCAUAGCGCCUCAAAGUUCUUGACAUUUUCUGAAUUGACUGACCUUCAUGUCUUAAAGUAAUGAUGUACUGUCUUUUAUUUUUGCUUACUUGCGCUGUUCUUGCCAUAAUAUGGACUUGGUCUUUUACCAAACAGGGCUAUCUUUUGUAUACCACCCGACCUUGUCACAACACAACUGAUUGGCUCAAACACAUUAAGAAGGAAAGAAAUUCCACAAAUGAACUUUUAACAAGGCACCCCAAUUAAUUGAAAUUCAUUCUAGGUGACUACCUCAUGAAGCUUGUUGAGGGAAUGCCAAGCAUGUUCAAAGGGUGACUACUUUGAAGAAUCUCAAAUAUAAAAUAUAUUUUGAUUUUGUUUAACACUUUUUUUGGUUACUACAUGAUUCCAUAUGUGUUAUUUCAUAGAUUUGAUGUCUUCAUUAUUAUUCUACAAUGUAAAAAUAAUGAAAAACCCUUGAAUGAGUUGGUGUGUCCAAACUUUUGACUGGUACUGUACAUUGAGGGUUUGUCCGAUUGGGAUGUUUCCUACCUAUCAGUGAGCCAAAGAAACAUGACGUAAACAUACACAAUACUUGCAAGGAAGAAAACAAAAGCUUUUUGUAAGAAAUAUGGUUGUAUGUGUACUAACCAUGCAGCUAUGCUGGUGACAGUGCACAGAGGAGUCCAUAUGUAAGAAAAUAUUUUAUGAAGAAAAUGUGUAUUUUUUUAUGUAAUGAUUGGUUAUAUACACUACGUGUGCCUUAAUACAUGGAAAAAAUCCUUCAAUAUUUUGUCUGUGUGAAAUGCAUUCUUAAACAGAAUAAAUAAAUAUUGUGGGAAAACAUGGAAUAACAGAAUCUAAGAAUUACACUUUACUAACCAAGCUUUUAGAUUUAAGUCAGAAGUUCGUAUCAAUUGAUCUAUAACAAUGCCUUAAAUAAUUACAUAAAGGAUAGGUUCGGUAUUUUAGACAUUGCAGUUAUAUUGUUUCUUACUCCCAAGGGAAACCGUAAUCCUCGGUUCGGAUUUCUUAAAACAGCCAGUACUAACUUCAGCUAACUUUCGUCACUGCUAACCAAAACCAUUGGGAGUAAUGGGGAAACCAUGCAAUGAUAUACAGUACCAGUCAAAAGUUUGGACACACCUACUCAUUCAAGGUUUUUUCAAAAAUUGUACUAUUUUCUACAUUGUAGAAUAAUAGUGAAGACAUCAAAACUAUGAAAUAACAUACAUGGAAUCAUGUAGUAACCAAAAAAGUGUUAAAUAAUCAAAAUAUAUUUUAGGUAGCCACUCUUUCCCUUGAUGACAGCUUUGCACACUCUUGGCAUUCUCUCAACCAGCUUCACCUGGAAUGCUUUUCCAACAAUCUUGAGGGAGUUCCCACAUAUAUGCUGAGCACUUGUUGGCUGCUUUUCCUUCACUCUGCCAUCUCAAUUGGGUUGAUGUCGGGUGAUUGUGGAGGCCAGGUCCUUCCUGGUCAAAUAGAGCUUACACAGCCUGGAGGUGUGUUGGGUCAUUGUCCUGUUGAAAAACAAAUGAUAGUCCCACUAAGCGCAAAACAGAUGGGAUGGCGUAUCGCUGCAGAAUGCUGUGGUAGCCAUGUUGGUUAAGUGUGCCUUGAAUUCUAAAUGAAUCACCGACAGUGUCACCAGCAAAGCACCCCCUCCUUUAUUGGUUACUACAUGAUUCCAUAUGUGUUAUUUAAUCAUUUUGAUGUCUUCACUAUUAUUCUACAUUGUAAAAAAUAAAGCAAAAAGGAUCUUCAAAAAUGUGAUUUUCCGUUUUACAUAUUUCCACACUAUGAGGUUGGAAUAAUAGUGUGAAAGUUAUGAUAAUGCCCUUUUAGUGUAAGAGCUGUUUAAAAAGUCUGCCUGAAAUUGAAUUCUGUUUCAGUGCGAUGGUGUUUUGGUCUGCCUGGUGACAGCACCUGGCAAUGAGUUAAUAGACCAAUAAGAAAGUUUUUCUCUGCCCAUAACAGCUAGUUUUCCCCUCCCCACUCAGACCACUCCCAGACAGACCCA
ensembl:lncRNA